UUGUUGGUUUUUUUGGUAUUUCGUUUAAAAUUAGCUAUUAAAAACAACAGGUUCCUGUAAUAGGAAAAGGUUUUCGAAAGUUGUUGUGUGAAGCCAACUUUCCUGAAAAACUUGAACGUUGCAUUUAUGUUUUUUAAAAAACCGGUUUUCUCUUCUUGAGAUUUGUUUUUUCUUAAUUAAAACUACCACCUGAAACUUGGCAUGGGGGUAACCUGCAUUACCCUUAAUACAGUGUCCAAAAGCAAGUUUUCCUGGAUUGGACAUUUUUUCUGUCGUGGUUAUCGAUACGGGUUAUUAAUUAUUACACACAAAGUAAUAGUCAAUUUUGAUGCUAAUCAGAUAUGUCGUAGUAACGUCCAGUGCUAAAAUAAAGAUAAAAUGCUAUACAUAUGCGAUACAUUUGGGCGUUUUGUAAAAGUGCCAAUUUGUUCAAAGGGGUAGGGCGUGUUCGUGAUUCGUGCUACCGUGAUCUGGAAACGUGAUUCAGAGACAUCUAGCGAGAAAAAAAACUCACUUUAGUAGCGAAGAACGUUUUGUCACACAUUUAGGAUUUAGAUAUUGUCAGCAACCUGCGUUAGCAAGACCUAAUGGACUGUUUUUAGUCUUUAUCUGUGCACAAAGUAAGAACUCAGAAACAGAAAGACAAAAAUCAUUCGCGUAAUUUACUGAAUUUCGUAAAAGGGCAACAACGCUUUCCAGUUGUCACGAAAGUUCGUCUGCAUUCUGCAGUAUGAAAAACAAGUGGAAAUAUUUUUACCAAAGUGAGUUUACAGGUGUCCUUUUUUAACGUGGUUAAAAACUUGAAACAAAGCCACGAUACGUAUAGGAUUUAUUCCGUGACAAAGUAGUCAUAUCAAGAAUGUUUGAAACAGCCCAUAUGCCCAGAUCACAUUGAUGCGAGAAGGCAUGGAGUGCUUCACCUGCAUCAGAUUUUUUCAAUCGACUUGCUAAACCAAAAUGAGUGCUGCAAGAAAAUUUUGUUCUGUGUGUUUUUAUAAGGCUGAAAUCACUCCAACACUUUGCUACAAUGCAACAGCCUCAAGUCUAAACUUUUCUAGUACAGUGUGGCCGUUGAAGUUACCUCUUCUCGUGAAGUAUUCCAGCGAUGUAGAACAAGUACCUAAUGAAGUGAACACAAAGAUUCAGUGACAGCAACAUUUACCUAUGUGAACUGCCAGACACAAAGUUUGCCUUAACUAAAGGAAUUCUACAUGGGAAUUGGCAUGGAUUACAGUUCCAUAUCGGGCAACAAAAUAUCAGUGUUGAAGGAAAGCAUAAGAACGUCAGAAACGAAGUGCGGAAUCGACGAAAGGCCAUCCAGUUUUUGCUUUUACGUCUUCAAGGAUCAACGGAGGAAAAAGUUGAGAUUGAUAUUUUUAAUCUUCAUUCAACAUCUUCUACAGCCAAUCUCUUACAACGUGAAAAACAAGAUUAUUGAACUCUGGAAUCUUUAGGUCACAACCGACAUCGGCGCGAAUGCAGGUUUUCAAAACGCACCUUUGCCAAAAAAAACUGACAUCCUGGAAGAAAUUGGCUUUGGUGAUGAAACUCUUGCCAAGGAGGAAAGUAAUACGUGACAAUACUCGAGCCCCCAUCAAAUGAACUGUUGCUACAGUUUUGGCCAAGACGGAAUUUGAAAAGCCCCUUCACCACAAGCUGUACUAUCUGAGGCAGGUGUCUCCCACGAUAUAGUUGGCAAACGAGUAUAAGGUGUAUAAAAUUUAACUGCCUUCCUUUCCAGGCAAAGCAUUUGAAUUAAGAACAUAUCCUGCGCAACGAUUGAAAUCUUUGUGAAACGUCCUCUUUCUGCGAGACAACAACCGGAAAGCUAAUCCCCCUACGAGAGUCCCACUUCUUGCUCUGGUAUCCUCAGGUGAGGUUACGUCACGUCUAGAUGGCUGUAAUGGUAUUACAUAAUUAGAUCCUCGACAAAUUUUUCAGCCGUUCCGUCCAGUCGUUCGUGGAUGAAAGGGAAUCUGUUGGUUUUCCUAGAUGGUUAAAAUUAUGGCCGAGUGUCUUCUUUAGAGACAAUUUCCGCCAUUUUUUUUUUAGACAUUGAAUGAAAAUGUAUCGUGUUUGUCCAACAAAGGAUCAUCUCUUGACAUGGAAAGAAGAGAACAAUUGAUGCAAGAUCGUGAUUUGGUUAUCUAUUCGCUGUUAAUUAUUACUCCAGAGAUUGAAGCUCUCAUCAGUUCCAAAGGACCAUAACGCUGCCACUCCAGAGGUUGCACUAAAGUGGCCAUCACAACUAGUUCUAAUUUAAGACCAAGAUAUUUGAUUUGAGGUUUUCGUCGCCGAUCCAAAGACCCGUUGGUGAAACUGAGGAGAGAAUGCUGAAAUUCAAGUCUGAUCAAAAAAUUAUGUAGAUGUAGAUAAAUGACAAGUGCAUAUCUGGGCUCCCUUCUUUUCUGUGGCCCCGUUUCCCUAACUAACCACUAACCAACGCCCGCCGGUGGUCACUCACCCGCUGUGA